GUUUUUAUAAUUUAAAUAAAAAAUAUUGGUCUUGUAAAUCAAAUAUAAGAUAUAUCUUUAAAAACU
rnacentral:tRNA from 1 species